UGAUAACGAAAUCUACAGUCUACUAUAUUUUUCGUUAUUUUUCAGUUCAAUACCUCUUCUUAAAUUAAAGAUAAAUGAAAUCCUAAAAUGAUAAUGGAAUCUACAGUCUACUAUAUUAUUCGUUAUUUUUCAGUUCAAAACCUUUUCUUGAAUUGUUCGACAAAACAAUAAUACUCCUCAGAUGUCAUUUUGCAUAACAUUAUUGUGGUACAACGAGAAGAGGAGAGGAAGUGCAACACUGAAGAGUAAGGGGAGAGGGAGAGCACAAAACAUAAUUUUGCUAAAUUAGCGAAAAACAAAAGAAAUGCCACGUGGACUUGUGGGCGGGGUUAGACAUUCCCCCUGACUGAAAACUCCCCAAUUGAGCACGCACCAAAAUCGUUUGCCUAGAGCCGUGUUCCCACCACGAAUCGCGGGUUUGAGGCACCAUAAUCAACGUCUAAAUAUUUGGCAAAAAGUACGAAAAAAAAAACGAGAAGCCGUUGGAAAAGAAAUAUGAAAAAAACCUGCUGAUGGCUUUGGAUUGCAUUUGGUGCCGGGCAACGGGCAACGGGCAUCAGGCAACGGCCAACUAAUUAUAAAAAUUUUUUGCAACCCCUUUCACUGCGCACAAUAAGAAUUAUGCGAAACCCUUUUGUGAAUUGCAUGCGACUCGAUCUGAGGGUCUGAGGCCAAGUCCGGGUGUGGGCCGUUAAUGACAGCUGGCUGUGUGUGCUUGUGUGUGGAUGAGGAUGGCAACUCUGGAACACUGUGGAACUCGGAGCUUAGCGAGGGGCGCUUGACAAAGGUUUAUUGGAGCUUUGACACAGGCGAUACGCGAUUAUAAUUAGAAUUUAGCCGCGGGGUUCGGCAUGGACAGUAACUCGAAAUUUUGAAUUUUUGCAGACCAAGCCAAGCCAAGGGUUGUUGGGGGUUCAAAUGGGGUUGCAAAAGUGUUUUCGGGUUGAUUGCCAAAAACUGCUGCGCGACCGACUGACUUGAAAGUGCCACGCUAAUCGAAUUUCAAAUCGAUUAACUGGCCAGUAAUUUGCAGAGAACGCAGAUGUUAUAACUGAUCUGCCAAAGAUACGUUUAAGAUAAUCUUAAAAUCCCUUGACGAAACUGUCAUUGAAGACAUCGACCUUGGUCUGUGACCCUCAUGUGAUGUCG